UACGUAGGUGGCAAGCGUUGUCCGGAUUUACUGGGCGUAAAGAGCGCGCAGGCGGUCGUUCAAGUCGCGUGUGAAAGCCCCCGGCUCAACUGGGGAGGGUCACGCGAUACUGAUCGACUCGAAGGCAGGAGAGGGAAGUGGAAUUCCCGGUGUAGUGGUGAAAUGCGUAGAUAUCGGGAGGAACACCAGUGUCGAAGGCGACUUCCUGGCCUGUUCUUGACGCUGAGGCGCGAAAGCUAGGGGAGCAAACGGG
rnacentral:rRNA from 1 species